rnacentral:rRNA from 1 species
CAGCAGCCGCGGUAAUACGUAGGUGGCAAGCGUUGUCCGGAAUUAUUGGGCGUAAAGCGCGCGCAGGUGGUUUAAUAAGUCUGAUGUGAAAGCCCACGGCUCAACCGUGGAGGGUCAUUGGAAACUGUUAAACUUGAGUGCAGGAGAGAAAAGUGGAAUUCCUAGUGUAGCGGUGAAAUGCGUUGAGAUUAGGAGGAACACCAGUGGCGAAGGCGGCUUUUUGGCCUGUAACUGACACUGAGGCGCGAAAGCGUGGGGAGCAAACAGGAUUAGAUACCCCAGUAGUCCCUGUCUCUUAUAC